GACGAACGCUGGCGGCGUGCUUAACACAUGCAAGUCGAACGCUGAAGCCUGGCUUUUGUUGGGUGGAUGAGUGGCGAACGGGUGAGUAACACGUGAGUAACCUGCCCUCUUCUUUGGGAUAACGCCCGGAAACGGGUGCUAAUACUGGAUAUUCACUUGCCUUCGCAUGGGGGUGGGUGGAAAGGGUUUUUUCUGGUGGGGGAUGGGCUCGCGGCCUAUCAGCUUGUUGGUGGGGUGAUGGCUUACCAAGGCUUUGACGGGUAGCCGGCCUGAGAGGGUGACCGGUCACAUUGGGACUGAGAUACGGCCCAGACUCCUACGGGAGGCAGCAGUGGGGAAUAUUGCACAAUGGGCGCAAGCCUGAUGCAGCGACGCCGCGUGAGGGAUGGAGGCCUUCGGGUUGUGAACCUCUUUCGCUCAUGGUCAAGCCGCAACUCAUGGUUGUGGUGAGGGUAG
rnacentral:rRNA from 1 species